rnacentral:rRNA from 1 species
UACGUAGGGGGCAAGCGUUGUCCGGAAUCAUUGGGCGUAAAGCGCGUGUAGGCGGCUCGAUAAGUCUGCUGUGAAAGUCCAGGGCUCAACCCUGGGAUGCCGGUGGAUACUGUCGAGCUCGAGUCCGGAAGAGGCGAGUGGAAUUCCUGGUGUAGCGGUGAAAUGCGCAGAUAUCAGGAGGAACACCAAUGGCGAAGGCAGCUCGCUGGGACGUGACUGACGCUGAGACGCGAAAGCGUGGGGAGCAAACAGGAUUAGA